rnacentral:rRNA from 1 species
AUGUCCUUCUCAAAGUCGUCCCGCCAUGUCCGCUCCGUCAGCCUCCCCGGCACCACCUCCUCACACCCGCUCCUCGCCAACCUCCACACCCACAUCGCCGCCAUCCGCGCCUGGAUCAAGGACACCGCAGAAGCAGGCUCUCCCCUCCCGGCCGGCCUAGUCGCCAUCCACGCGCUCCAUGCCGCUCUCGCCGACCUACUCCUCCUCCCUGAGUCUCGCCGCGCCACUAUGAGCGCCAGUGACCGCCUCCUCCACGCCUUCCUCCUCCUCACCGACGCGCACCAGCGCUUCCAGGAGUGCCUCAUGUCGCUUAGGCACGCGGCGGCCGAGUCCCACGCUGCGCUCCGCAGGGGCGAUGCCACCACAACUCUCGCGUCUGCCGCCAGGUCCCAGCGCCGCGCCGAGAAGGUCCUCGCUCGCCUGGCCGCCUCCAUCUCCUCCGUCUCCUCCAAAUGCGCCCGCCCGAACCUCGUCGGCGAGGAUGCAGAGAUGGUCGGUGCGAUGGUGGAGGCAGUCACUGUCAGUGCCGCGGCCUCUGCGGCCGUGUUCUCGGCUGCCGCGUCAAUGUCGUCCCCGGCAUCCUCUAGCAAGAAGAUGGCCAUGUUUAUUCCUAAGUUCGCCACCAGGAAGGCCACCGCUCCGGAGACGGCAGAGGUGGCCAUGGAGAGACUGCAUAUGCUGGAGCGGCGCUUCGGCGAGUGCGAUGAUGCCUGCAACAGUGUGUUCAGGAGCGUCGUGCAGGCUAGGGUUUCACUUCUCAACAUCAUGACGCCCACGAUCUAG